UACGAAGGGGGCUAGCGUUGAUCGGAAUCACUGGGCGUAAAGCGCACGCAGGCGGAUCGAUAAGUCGGGGGUGAAAGCCCGGGGCUCAACCUCGGAAUUGCCUUCGAUACUGUCGGUCUCGAGUCCGGGAGAGGUGAGUGGAAUUCCUAGUGUAGAGGUGAAAUUCGUAGAUAUUAGGAAGAACACCAGUGGCGAAGGCGGCACACUGGCCCGGUACAGACGCUCAGGUGCGAAAGCGUGGGGAGCAAACAGG
rnacentral:rRNA from 1 species